CAGGUGGACGUUGGGGCGUGGAAUCACGGGUUGAGUUGGGUUGCGCAGUUCGCUGUGUUUGCCUGCUCGAUUCUCCACACACCCCCGUCCGUGACAAGCCUCCUCGCUCGGGUACAUAACGGAUAUCGGUUAAAGGAGUGUGGGGGGUUGCGUGUGUGGGGUUCUGCCUCGCAUGUGUCUCUCUCUACGUUAAGCUCCAUCGGUAUCACGGUCACCUUGAGUAAAUCAGAGUGCUCAAAGCAGUCGUAGGGGCCUUGCGCCCUGUGAACAGUCUUGACGGACUGACUUGGUUUUGCAUGGCAUGUCGGAAGACGACGUCGUGUGCUGGCUCAGAGGAUAAAUCAGUGGUACAAGCCAGCCUCGACGUAAUGAUUAAAAGGGACGGUCGAGGGCAUUGGUAUUGCGAGGCGAGAGGUGAAAUUCUGUGACCCCCGCAAGACCUCCUGAAGCGAAAGCGUCUGCCAAGGACGUUUUCAUUAAUCAUGAACGAAAGUUAGAGGAUCGAAGGCGAUCAGAUACCGCCCUAGUUCUAACCCUAAACGAUGCCAACCAUCAAUCCGCGCGUAGCACCCUUCUUAACGGGCUCGGCGGGCAGCUCCCCACUCACGGGAAACCAGAGCCUCUGGGUUCCGGGGGGAGUCUGGUUGCAAAGCUGAAACUUAAAGGAAUUGACGGAAAGGCACCACCAGGCGUGGAGCCUGCGGCUUAAUUUGACUCAACACGGGCCAUCUCACCAGGCCAGCACUCUUGUACGAUUGACAGAUUGAGAGCUCUUUCUCGAUUCAGUGGAUGGUGGUGCAUGGCCGUUCUUAGUUGGUGGAGUGAUCUGUCUGGUUAAUUCCGAUAACGAACGAGACUCUCCCCUGCUAACUAGUCGGUUGGAUCUUGAUCAGUGGGUUGCGUGCUGAGUAGCUCUCGCUGCGUUGGUGUGUGCUUGUGCGGGGCAACCUGUGCUUGUGCGUGCUGCGUGGUGUUGGACGCCUCGGAUCACACUGCACCCCAAGUCCGCCGCUUAUGCUAUAACUCUUCUUAGAGGGAUUCACGGCACUGAAGCCGUAAGAGACUGAGAGCAAUAACAGGUCUGUGAUGCCCUUAGAUGCUCUGGGCCGCACGCGCGCUACAAUGCCGGGCACAGCAGGUGUUUCUCCUGCUCCGACAGGAGCGGGUAACCCUCUGAAAGCCAGUGUUUUAUGCAAGUACUACCUCCCUCGUGGAGUGGUACAGAGGCGUGCUUGGGCCUGGGACUUGCAAUUCUUUCCCACCAACGAGGAAUGCCUAGUAGCGGCGGGUCACUGAGCCCGCUGUGACUCAGUCCCUGCCCUUUGUACACACCGCCCGUCGCUACUACCGAUUGGGUGUACCAGUGAGAGCCUUGGACUGGCGUCCGUUGUUGC
rnacentral:rRNA from 1 species